AUGAAUCCCCCAGGUGCCCUGAAACCUCUGUGUGCUCUGCCUACGCCGCCCCUGGUCCGCACAGGGAGCAGAGCCCUCCACAGCCGGGGCAGGGCUUGCAGCUCCCCACCAGCCCCCACUGGCAGCCCGCUGCCCUCACUCACCCUCACAGAUGAGAUGGAGCUCUUCCUUCUUCCCCCUGAGGUGUCACCUGGCUGUCCCUUGGAACACAGAGCCUGUCAGGCCAGCGGCACAGCUCCCUGCCAGCGGCGCUGCCAGCCCUGUGCCCACACGCCCUCCUGGCCCGGCUCGUGGCUUAACCAUAAACCUGAUGGCCGCCUCUUGCAGGGGCUCCUGUGGGUUCUGAAGGUAGGGCAGGGCCCGGUGCAGGUGCUCGGCCAUGCUGCUGCUGUCCUCUGCCAGCUGGAGAGAGCGGCAGGAGGGAAGGGUUGGCCCCGCAUCCCCGCCAGGCCGGGGCUCCAUGGGCACUCGGCUCGGGGCGCAGGAGCCUGGAGCAGAGCCCGCGCGGCCUCUGGGUGCAGCGCCGGGCACAGCUGCCAGCCCGCACACAGAGCACCGUGCUCAGGCGGCUUCUCCAGGCUGAGGCUGCGGCUUCCUGGCCGUCCUUACCAGGCGCUCAGUGAACUUCCACAUCUUUUUGUUCUUCACCAGUUUUCCAAGAUCCCUCCUCUUCAGGAACUCGGCCGCAAAAAGCAGUGUUUCCUGAGAAGCCUGGAGAGCAGCAGAGAUGCGGGGAUGGCCCCACAGCCCAGGGCGCAGGACCCACAUCCCUGUGCCAAGGCCAGGAGGAGGAUGCAGCCCGCGUGUCGCCAGGGCAGGAGGCAGCCUAGCCCCUGCCAGGGGGACAGCAGCAGCCCACGAGUCCUCACCUGUGCCACUCGCUGGUUCUCAUCAUGGCAGUGGAAGAAGAGUGGGAGCAGGCUCUGGAGUAUGUAUGCCUUCAGGGCCUUUUUUUCCUUUUCCUGUGGAAGAGUCACCACUCUUCGGAAGAGCAGUAUGGAGAGCAGCUGCACCUGGCUUUUGUCCUGUAUGAAGGGAAGAACAAAAGACCUCAGCAUUGGCUGCACUGGGUUCAGUUUGGUGCAGGCCUGCAAAUCUGCAGGGCACAAAGUGUCCAGGCAGCAGCCAGUGGCCGUGGCUGUGGGCAGUGAGCCUUACGUGGUCAAGGAGUGGCAGGAGCACCACUUCUUCAGUCUGGUGUGCAUGGGCAUCUCCAGGGCCUUCUUCCUCUUCCUCCACCCAGGCCAACUUGGGCACUCUCAGGGAUCUCUGCUCCAUGUCAGUGACUGGAUUUGUGGCUACUUGCAGGAGAGAUGCCUCGGAAAAAGGGAUGGGAGAUGCCUCCGGGGCACCAAGUCCCAUGCUCUGCCCUCGAGGGCACCUGCAGAAGGCCACGGGUCAGCAAGUCCUGUGGUCUGGCCUUGA
rnacentral:lncRNA from 1 species